AGUGUUUUAUGGUCCACUGGGUGAACGGUCCACUCUUGAUGUCCAGAUGUUGGACCCUCCUUUUUUGGGUCAUCUCAACUUGUUUUUUUUCCCCACGUCGGUUUUGUUUCUGUUCUUCAAAGUCUACAGACAUAUGGUCUGUCCUCUAUCUCACUCCAACAGGUUAUGGGCCAAGCACACUUCAAUUGCGCUUAGAUAUCAUGAACGAACUCAGCAAGAUCACGAAUCGAUCAGCACUCUAUUAAAGCCUUUCUUCAAAUACGAAAUCAAACAUGUCGGAAGCAUUGAAGAUCGAAAAGCUGACCAACAAGAACUAUAGCACUUGGAAAAUGCUGAUUGAAGCCGUCUGUGUUGCCAAUAAUACAUGGGACUAUUUAACAACCAAAAUUGAACGACCUAGAGCGCUGACAUAAAUGAUUCCAAAACUGUCCAAGCAGCAUCGGAAGAUAUAGAGGACAGACUAUAUACAUCUGUAGACUUUGAAGAACAGAAACAAAACCGACAUGGGGAAGAAAAAAGUCGAGAUGACCUACAAGAGGAGGGUCCAACAAAAGUAAUGUGUGGAAUUGAAAAUUUGAAACUGGGAAAAGUAUUAAGAUUACUUUGAAAGGAAGUCAGCAUUUAUUAUUUAAUUAUACUUUACACAAUAAAUGAAAAACCAGAACCAUAACUAGAUACUGAAAAACAUGACAAGUGACCACAA
rnacentral:lncRNA from 1 species